rnacentral:rRNA from 1 species
GAUGAACGCUAGCGGCGUGCCUAAUACAUGCAAGUCGAGCGAGCUGAAUUCAAAGAUCCCUUCGGGGUGAUUUGUUGGACGCUAGCGGCGGAUGGGUGAGUAACACGUGGGCAAUCUGCCCUAAAGACUGGGAUACCACUUGGAAACAGGUGCUAAUACCGGAUAACAACAUGAAUCGCAUGAUUCAAGUUUGAAAGGCGGCGUAAGCUGUCACUUUAGGAUGAGCCCGCGGCGCAUUAGCUAGUUGGUGGGGUAAAGGCCUACCAAGGCAAUGAUGCGUAGCCGAGUUGAGAGACUGAUCGGGCCACAUUGGGACUGAGACACGGCCCAAACUCCUACGGGAGCAGCAGUAGGGAAUUUUCGUCAAUGGGGGAACCCUGAACGAGCAAUGCCGCGUGAGUGAGGAAGGUCUUC